CUUGUGACACGUACUGCCUGGGUAGAGUACUUGACAAACUCUGCCUCAGCAUCAUCCUCGUUGUUAUUAUUUUUAUUAUUUGCGGUACUGGGCCUUCGCACCAAACCACGUCCCCAGCCCUUUUUAAAGUUUCUGAUUUUGAGACUGGGUCUCUCAGAGUCACAAAGUUAUCCCCCUGGGCUUCAACUUGUGAUCCUCCUUCUUCAGCCUCCCAGAGUGCUGAGAUGACAGGCAUAUGCCACCAUGUCUCCGUGUUGUGGUUCAGGCUGGCCUUGAACUGUGUCCCAGGCUGGCCUCGAACUCACAGUGAUCCUCCUGCAUCAGCCUCCCAAGUGCUGGGCCUACAGGGGUGCACGACUAUACUCGUUUGCUUCGUUUCGUUUGGUGCACACUUUUGCCUCCCUCGUACCCACCACCAGCAGGCAGCUGUUUUUACUCGUGUCGGAGGAGUUUCAUGACUGGAGGGCUGAGGCUGAGGCCUCAUGCGGAACAGCAGCAGCAGAGUGGCAUGGAGUCUGUGACCUGUUGUGCUCCUUUCUGUCCGGUUUGUUUGCACUGAUCUUGUCUCAUAUUCUAGCUGUCUAUUUUAUGGAAAUGAACCAAUUUUAAGAAGUUUGAAUAGUCAGGUUCUGGGGUUUAGCAGGUGGCAAGAACUUAGCACAUUUUGCAUUUUUAGGUCUCAUUACGGAAAUAACCAUGACACAUGGAGAGUGAACACGUACUGCUUGCUGUCUUGCAAGCCCCAUCCCAAGCUUUUGCACACUUCAUGUCUACAGAUGUCAGUUUCCCAAAACCAAGACCCUCUACAGCUCAGUUAUUACAAGCCUUGUAUACACUUGAACUAGAUCUUGCUCUUACAUUGUGCAGGCUGAUGGGAAUGGGGAAGGGAACGUUAUCAGGACCUCUGCCUGUGAGCCAGCCACAGCACAAGGUGAAUUAAAGAACAGACCGGAAAUGAGACUUAGAGUGGAGAAGCUGAGUCUUGGGUCCAGAUCAGUGCUGCUGAUGGCAGCAAAGACAAAGUGCAUCCAGAGUUUAUUGAAUACACCCGUGGGAAGGAAUAGGGGGCAGGGUGUGCUUUGAAGGCAUCUAGUGAGACACUGCCAAACACCUGGUAUGAUGGCACCAGGCAGGGCUCUUAGGGAGUAGGCACUGCUUACCUUGCUUGGACAGAACAAAC
rnacentral:lncRNA from 1 species